UCCGUAGGGUGCAAGCGUUAAUCGGAAUUACUGGGCGUAAAGCGUGCGCAGGCGGUUAUGUAAGACAGUUGUGAAAUCCCCGGGCUCAACCUGGGAACUGCAUCUGUGACUGCAUAGCUAGAGUACGGUAGAGGGGGAUGGAAUUCCGCGUGUAGCAGUGAAAUGCGUAGAUAUGCGGAGGAACACCGAUGGCGAAGGCAAUCCCCUGGACCUGUACUGACGCUCAUGCACGAAAGCGUGGGUAGCGAACAGG
rnacentral:rRNA from 1 species